CGUGCUCGAUCUGCUGCGGGCAGAUGAAAUGAAUGUGACUGUCGAAGCCUCCAGCCGUAAUAAUCUUGCCCUCGCCGGCGAUGAUCUCGGUCGAGGCGCCGAUGAUAAUGUCGACACCUGGCUGGAUAUCGGGAUUGCCGGCCUUGCCGAUGCCGUGGAUGCGCCCGUCGCGAAUGCCGAUGUCGGCCUUGACGAUCCCCCAGUGGUCGAGGAUCAGCGCAUUGGUGAUCACGGUGUCGACCGCGCCCUCGGCGCGCAUCACCUGCGACUGGCCCAUGCCGUCGCGGAUG
rfam:Starkeya novella DSM 506, complete genome.